UAUCGCUGGCGACCGGCGCACGGGUGCGUAACACGUAUAUAAUCUGCCUUUUACAGGGGGAUAGCCUUUCGAAAGAGAGAUUAAUACCCCAUAAUAGUUGACUGGGCAUCCAGUUGAUUUGAAAGUUCCGACGGUAAAAGAUGAGUAUGCGUCUGAUUAGCUAGUAGGUGAGGUAACGGCUCACCUAGGCAACGAUCAGUAGGGGAUCUGAGAGGAUUAACCCCCACACGGAUACUGAGACACGGAUCCGACUCCUACGGGAGGCAGCAGUAAGGAAUAUUGGACAAUGCCCGCAAGGGUGAUCCAGCCAUGCCGCGUGCAGGAAGAAGGCCCUAUGGGUCGUAAACUGCUUUUACACCGGAGAAAACCCCCCUACGUGUAGGGGGCUGAUAGUAUGGUGAGAAUAAGCAUCGGCUAACUUCGUGCCAGCAGCCGCGGUAAGACGAAGGAUGCAAGCGUUAUCCGGAUUCAUUGGGUUUAAAGGGAGCGUA
rnacentral:rRNA from 1 species